UACGUAGGGUGCGAGCGUUAAUCGGAAUUACUGGGCGUAAAGCGUGCGCAGGCGGCUUUGUAAGUCAGGUGUGAAAUCCCCGGGCUUAACCUGGGAAUGGCAUUUGGGACUGCAAGGCUGGAGUACGGCAGAGGAGACUGGAAUUCCUGGUGUAGCAGUGAAAUGCGUAGAGAUCAGGAGGAAUACCGAUGGCGAAGGCAGGUCUCUGGGCUGAUACUGACGCUCAUGCACGAAAGCGUGGGGAGCAAACAGG
rnacentral:rRNA from 1 species